rnacentral:rRNA from 1 species
AUUGAACGCUGGCGGAAUGCUUUACACAUGCAAGUCGAACGGCAGCACGGACUUCGGUCUGGUGGCGAGUGGCGAACGGGUGAGUAAUACAUCGGAACGUGCCCAGUCGUGGGGGAUAACGUAGCGAAAGCUACGCUAAUACCGCAUACGAUCUACGGAUGAAAGCGGGGGAUCGCAAGACCUCGCGCGAUUGGAGCGGUCGAUGGCAGAUUAGGUAGUUGGUGGGGUAAAGGCUCACCAAGCCGACGAUCUGUAGCUGGUCUGAGAGGACGACCAGCCACACUGGGACUGAGACACGGCCCAGACUCCUACGGGAGGCAGCAGUGGGGAAUUUUGGACAAUGGGCGCAAGCCUGAUCCAGCCAUUCCGCGUGCAGGAUGAAGGCCCUCGGGUUGUAAACUGCUUUUGUACAGAACGAAAAGGCUCUGGUUAAUACCUGGGGCUCAUGACGGUACUGUAAGAAUAAGCACCGGCUAACUACGUGCCAGCCGCCGCAGUAA